rnacentral:rRNA from 1 species
ACGGGUGAGUAAUGUCUGGGAAACUGCCUGAUGGAGGGGGGAUAACUACUGGAAACGGUAGCUAAUACCGCAUAACGUCGCAAGACCAAAGAGGGGGACCUUCGGGCCUCUUGCCAUCAGAUGUGCCCAGAUGGGAUUAGCUAGUAGGUGGGGUAACGGCUCACCUAGGCGACGAUCCCUAGCUGGUCUGAGAGGAUGACCAGCCACACUGGAACUGAGACACGGUCCAGACUCCUACGGGAGGCAGCAUG